rnacentral:rRNA from 1 species
AGCAUAAAAGGUAAUGCCUGCCCAGUGACCAUGUGUUCAACGGCCGCGGUAUUCUGACCGCGCGAAGGUAGCGUAAUCACUUGUUUUUUAAAUAAAGACUAGUAUGAACGGCCGCACGAGGACCUAACUGUCUCCUUUGUCCAAUCAGUGAAACUGAUCUCCUCGUGCAGAAGCGAGGAUUUUACCAUAAGACGAGAAGACCCUAUGGAGCUUUAAACUUUUAUUAAUUAUUUCCUUCACCCUCUCUCAGGAGCUAACAGCCAACUUAAUUUAUUUAAUAAAAGUUUUGGGUUGGGGCGACCAUGGAGAAAAAAAGAUCCUCCCUAAUGAUAACCUAACCAAGAGCCACAGCUCUAAGUAUUAAGACACUUAACUCCUAUUGACCCAUUUUAUGACCAACGAACCAAGUUACCCUAGGGAUAACAGCGCAAUCCAUUUCAAGAGUCCCUAUCGACAAAUGGGUUUACGACCUCGAUGUUGGAUCAGGGCAUCCAAGUGGUGCAACCGCUACUAAAGGUUCGUUUGUUCAACGAUUAAAGCCCUACGUGAUCUGAGUUCAGACCGGAGUAAUCCAGGUCGGUUUCUAUCUAUGACU